GGUGAACGCUGGCGGCGUGCCUAACACAUGCAAGUCGAACGGAGUCCAGCCUUUAAUGCCUUCGGGUCGAAGAGGGGAAGACUGAGUGUCAGACGUGUAAGUAACACCUGUACAACCUGGCUCAUAUAGGGGGAUAACAGAGAGAACUGUCUGCUAAUACCGCAUACGCACACACUUACUCAUGGCCGAUUUUGAAGAGAGUAUCGCUUGGAUAUGGACCCGAGUCGGAUUAUCAAGUUGUCAGGGUAAGAGCCUACCAAAGCGAGUAUCAGUAGCCGAUAUGAGAGAAUGAGCCGAGACACCGGGACGGAGACACAGUACAAAAUCUUACGGGAGGCAGCAGAGGGGGAUAUAGCAAAAUGGGGGGAAUGAUGAUGCAGCGACGACGGGUGAGUGAAGAAGUAUUUCGGUAUGAAAAGCGCUAUUAGCAGGGAAGAUAAUGACGGUACCUGAACAAGAAGCCACGGCUAACUACGUG
rnacentral:rRNA from 1 species